rnacentral:rRNA from 1 species
CCUACGGGCGGCAGCAGUAGGGAAUAUUUCACAAUGGGGGAAACCCUGAAGCAGCAACGCCGCGUGGAGGAUGAAGGUUUUAGGAUUGUAAACUGCUUUUGUUAGAGAGGAUUAUGAUGGUAUCUAACGAAUAAGCACCGGCUAACUCCGUGCCAGCAGCCGCGGUAAUACGGAGGGUGCAAGCUUUACUCGGAAUCACUGGGCGUAAAGAGUGGGGAGGCGGGGUAAUAAUUCAGAUGUGAAACCCUGUUGCUUAACUACAGAACUGCAUUUGAAACUGUUAAUCUGGAGUGUGGGAGGGGUAGGUGGAAUUAUUGGUGUAGGAGUGAAAUCCGUAGAGAUCAAGAGGAACACUCAUAGCGAAGGCGAGCUGCUGGAACAUUACUGACGCUGAGGCACGAAAGCGUAGGGAGCAAACAGGAUUAGAUACCCGAGUAGUC